AACACUGCAGUGAGAUCCCAGGAUAACCUCCAGUCUAACACUGCAGUGAGAAGGCCAGUUACAAGGCCAGUUACAAGGCCAGUUACAAGGCCAGUUACAAGGCCAGUUACAAGGCCAGUUACAAGGCCAGUUACAAGGCCAUUAUUUUACAUUGAUGUUCAGAACACGAUAUUGGUUGAACAACAAUGGUUGAUGCUGCUAGUACAGGAAAGUACACUCUUCGUAAAAGGACUCUACGGCUGUCUCCGUAGGAGCACCCUUAAAGGGUUCGACAUGGAACCCAAAAAGGUUCUAACCGGACAACCCAAAAAGUGAACUUCAAAGGGUUAUCCUAUGGGGACAGCCGAAGAACUAUUUCUGGUUCUAGAUAGCACCUUUUUUCCCCUAAGAGCGUAGUAUGGACGGCAGGAUUGUGUGAUCAACAACACAUUCCGUGUGGAAGAUAUGACAUUAGUCCUCAACUAAACCCCAAGUUUCCUCCUAAGGCUUCUCAGUAACCACACCAACAACACCAACACCACAAACAACACUAAUAACACCACCAACAACACUAACAACACCACCAACAACAACACUACCAACACCACCAAGAACACCACCAACACCAACAACACUACCAACAUCACCAACAACACCACCACCAACAACACUACCAUCACCAACAACACCACCACCAACAACAACAACAACACCACCACCAACACCACCAACAACACUACCAACACCACCAACAGCACCAACACCAAAACCAACAACACCACCAAGAACAACACCACCACCAACAACACCACUAACAACACCAACACCAAAACAACACUACCAACAACACCACCACCACCAACACCAAAACCAACAGCCCCACCAAGAACACCACCACCAACAACACCAACAAGAACAACAACAGCAGCAACACCACCAACAGCAACACCAACUACCACAACAACAACACCACCAACCCAGCCAACAACACCUCCAUCACCAACACCAAAUCCAACAACACCGACACCACCAAGAACAACACCACCAACAGCAACACCACCACCAACAACAACAACACCAACACCAACUACCACAACAACAACAACACCACCACCAACCCAGCCAACAACACCACCAACAACAACACCACCACCAACCCAGCCAACAGCAACAACAUAACAUCUCACCUCUAAGAAUGCUUCAUAGACAUACAGCCAGUUCUUCAGUAUUAACCGGUCUCUAUGAACAUACCUAAGAUAUAUCACUGCCACUGUGACGUCUGAUUGGGUAGGGUUGGUUAGGGGAGAGAACACCCCACCCUGUAGGGGAGUGGACUGGAGAUCUCUGAUCUGCCUGAGGUGCUCUGCUCUGUCUAUGACUGUGACUCAUCUGUGUGGUAUUUAGCAUUUAAAUAUUCUGAAACUGCAACCUAUUCCCUACAUAGUACACUACAUUUGAUCAGAGCUAAUGGGCCCUGGUCUAAAAUAGUGCACUUUAUAGGGAAUAGGGUGCACUUUCAGACCCUAGAGAGUGGCUCCUGAAC
ensembl:lncRNA